rnacentral:rRNA from 1 species
CAGCCGCCGCGGGAAUACGAAGGGGGCUAGCGUUGUUCGGAUUAACUGGGCGUAAAGGGCGCGUAGGCGGCCUGGGGCGUCCCAUGUGAAAGGCCACGGCUCUACCGUGGAGGAGCGUGGGAUACGCUCAGGCUAGAGGGUGGGAGAGGGUGGUGGAAUUCCCGGAGUAGCGGUGAAAUGCGCAGAUACCGGGAGGAACGCCGAUGGCGAAGGCAGCCACCUGGUCCACUUCUGACGCUGAGGCGCGAAAGCGUGGGGAGCAAACCGGAUUAGAUACCCCCGUAGUCCCUGUCUCUUAUAC